AGAUUGAACGCUGGCGGCAUGCCUUACACAUGCAAGUCGAACGGCAGCACGGGAGCAAUCCUGGUGGCGAGUGGCGAACGGGUGAGUAAUAUGUCGGAACGUGCCCAGUCGUGGGGGACAACGUAGAGAAAUUUACGCUAAUACCGCAUACGAUCCAAGGAUGAAAGCGGGGGACCGUAAGGCCUCGCGCGACUGGAGCGGCUGAUAUCAGAUUAGCUUGUUGUGAGGUAAAAGCUCACCAAGGCGACGAUCUGUAGCUGGUUUGAGAGAACGACCAGCCACACUGGGACUGAGACACGGCCCAGACUCCUACGGGAGCAGCAGGUGGGUAAUUUGGACAGUGGGACGAAAGCCUGAUCCGAGACAAUCGCCGCGUGCGAAGGAAGAGGUCCUUCGGUUAGUAACUGUCUUUCGGUACGGAGACG
rnacentral:rRNA from 1 species